GAGGGGAGUGCGUGCUGCUUUGCCGCUGUCUCCGUAGAGGAAGAGUGCGGGUCCUUGUAGGAAACGUGAGCCCUGACUGCUGCUCUGCGCGGCCCUGCAAGUCCUCGCCAGAGCAGGUGGGCGAGAAGAAGCCACAGAAAGCGUCCGAAUUGGGAAGGAAGAAGCCAGGUCGGCUCUCUUUUCCGAUGACGUCAUCUUACCUAAGACUACCUCUCUUUGCUGAUGACGUCAUCUUACCCAAAGACAACCCAACGUCUCAACCAGAAGCUGCCCUCACUGGUCACCGUCAGGUCGCAGGAUCGCAGUCCACACACGAACUCCCGUCAGCGCUCCAAGGGAGAUCCACACAGCUCCACUUAGCAGAGCCCAGACCUCCAGCAGCCUGGAGUGAAACAAAACUCAUGAUUUACAUGGAAACACAAAAGCCCCAUUUGGGCAGUGGGCAAAGGACUUGAAUUGACGUUCCGGAGAGAAGAUGUGAUGACUGACAGGAGGAUGCAAAAUCUCUCAGACAAAACAGCUUUGUCUGUGUCUGAUGAGCUGUGACUUCUGGAACGAGUACACUUUGUGACCGUUUUGUUGGGAGUCUAAGUUUACGAGAGCAUCCGUCGCAGGAUUUCCCCAUCUCACGGUUGCCGUCUCCGGUUUUGAUUGCACUCUCUCCUUGCCUGAUAAAACGUUCCUUUUUCCUGUCCUCGGGAACAGUUUCUCUGAAUCCUGAGGUGUUCGCUCUUCCUGUGACGACCCGCGUCCCUGAGGUCACCUGUGUCUGCACAGGCAGGGUUUCG